rnacentral:lncRNA from 1 species
AAUAGCACGCAGCCUCAUACCUGGGUAACAGGGUAGUCAAACCAACCAAAUCUUUUCAUAUGAAAGCAUUCUUAGUACAACAUGCUGGUCAGUACCCAAAUACAGAGCUUCUAUGUAGUUUAUGUACACAAAAGUAUACUUGCUUUACCCCAAAAGAAAGAAGCCCUGAUACCAAAUUAACGUGUCUCUGGCAGCUAUCAGUGGUAAGGAUCUGAAAGAAAAAGUAAAUGAACGGAUAUGAGCUACACGGCUCAGUAAGUAAUCCUGCAUAAUCUUGUCGAAUCGACUAAAAAUGCUAACCAUGCUUAUCAGGGUUUGAGAAGCUGACAUGUAUGCUACUAAAUCAAUCAUCAUAAUAAAAUAUCCAUGCUGAGUAAAUAAAACAGUAUCCUACAAUGUCAAGAAAUCAUGUAAUAUGCACAUGUAGGAAAAAU